AGAACGAACGCUGGCGGCAUGCUUAACACAUGCAAGUCGAACGCUCUCGGGGCUUCGGUUCCGGGGGAGUGGCGCACGGGUGAGUAGCGCGUGGGAACCUGCCCUGUUGUGGGGGAUAACCGAGGGAAACUUCGGCUAAUACCGCAUACGCCCCGGAGUAAUCCGGGGAAAGAUUAUCGCAGCAGGAGGGGCCCGCGUCGGAUUAGGUAGUUGGUGGGGUAACGGCCCGACCAAGCCUGUGAUCCGUAGCU
rnacentral:rRNA from 1 species